ensembl:lncRNA
AUGACUGAACUCCCAUUCACAACUGCUACAAAGAGAAUAAAAGACCCAGGAAUAAAACUAACAAGGGAUGUGAAGGACCUCUUCAAGGAGAACUACAAACCACUGAUGAAGGAAAUAAGAGAGAGGAACAGAAGAGCACACCGACAGGUACCAGUGGACUUCUGCAGGCCAUUAACAGCUGGACAACAUGGAAUUCGGCAAAGGGCGACCAGACUCAAGGGGAAGAUUACCUUCCCACUCCAUCUCCCUUUUGGCCUCCCCAUUUACAUCACUGAGAGUUGCUUCCACUCAAUAAAACCUUGCACUCAUUCUCCAAGCCCGUGUGUGAUUUGAUUUUUCCAACACACCAUGGCAAGAACCGCAGGAUACACAGAAAGCCCUCUAUCCUUGCGAUAAGGCAGAGGGUCUAAUUGAGCUGAUUAACAAGCUGCCUGAGGAUGGCUAAACUGAAAGAGCACACUGAAACAUGCACCCACUGAGGUUUCCCGAGCUGUAAACACUCAACCCUACAUGCUGCUUUGGGGUCAGAGCCCGAAAAUGUCCCUGACAACCUGCUCAUCUGCAUGCUCCCCACGAGAGGUUUGAGCGAGCCACACCUGUAUUUCACACGCUGUGAGGAGGAUAAGGGAACUUUUCCCACAUCACUUGGACUAGCUGAGCAGAUUGAUUACUUAUUUCCUUUCUAGGUUUUCAUUUUUUAAACUUAUUAUAUUCUUUUCAUGUUUGAGUCCAAUUUCUGAAUGAAAUGGUCUCUUUUAUUCUCAAUACCUUAAUGCUGAAACUUUCUAGAUAUGAAACUACAUUGAAAAAAUAUACCACUAAAAAUCUGUUUUGUAAACAAAUGACUAAAUUGGGGCAGAUUUGCCUUUUGGGCUGGCAGAUUUUCUACUGUAGAGAGUGCUAUCAGUGAAAAGAGUUCUGAUAUUUAAACAAUGAGCUCUGGAAAUUUAAAAAAAAAUCAGGCAUUUUAAUGAACACAAAUAAAUGAAAGUUACUGAUAUUUUUCAUGACCCCCUAAUUUGUAGAGCUUUAUACUUUUCAACACGUCUCCAAAUCCAUUAUACCAUUAUGUCAUUUGAUUCCCACAUAUGUCUAUGAGGUGGAUCAGGCCACAGCUAUCAUCAUCCCCAAUUUAUAUAUGAGGAUCCUGAGACACAAAGAGGUUGUAUACAACCUAUACAAUGUCACACGGAAAGUUAACAUACAAGAGGGAUAACCCAGAUCUCCUGGUUGCUAAUUUGUUUUCUACCAAGUCACUUCACUCCCCAACAUCAAGAGUCACAUCUCUUUAAUGUGUCCAAGAAAUGUAAGAACAAUGAUUAUUAUUCCCCUGGAUUCUCCUUUCUCCAAUGCACAGAACAAGCAAUUUCCGGCUACUAACAUACAUAGUUGCUUUCCUGCAAAGUUUUCCCAGAGAAGCCCUGAAAUUUCCAAAAGAAUUAUAUAUUGCUAGAUGGAGGCAUGAGAAAGCUUUUGGUUUUAUCUUCCCAUAUCCCAGUUUGAUCUAUUAAAUUUUGAACUCAGUGCUUCUUUAAAGGUGUUUAAAAUUCAGUGCUCAAAUCCCAAAUUUCUCAAGGGUCAGCAAGUCAAAUUCAUUUACACUUUAUCCCUGAGUUUCUUUCCUUUUUAUCCUUUCUUUUAUAUGAAAAGCAAUAAACCAGUGACCCAUGCUUUUCACUCAGAGACUCUUUGGUCUGCACUUUAAUCACUUCUUAUCUGGUAUCUUCACUAUAGGGUGUUAUGCUGAAAACAAGUACUACACAACUAUUUACUUCUCACUGGACAAUUCCAGCAAUUUCUAUCAUGUCAGUUCAAUACGUGGUGAGAUCGGCAGUUACCAAAUCAUGAGUCCAAAUCUGUCACCACUUGGAAGAUAAAGAAGGUCAGGGAUGUGUGAUUGCAAAAAACAAAGGAAAUCUAUUUGAGACUUUGUGUAAAAUGAAGUUUGCGAACAGCUAAUGAAUGUGAGGUGAACAAAACAGAGCUCCACUUACAUUUAUACAUGGAAAAUCUACAGUCAUUAAAGACAAGGACAUAGAUCUAUGUUUACUGAGACAAGAUGUUUAUAACAUUUUACAGAAGUAUAGAUAAUAUGACUUCAUCUUAAAUUCUAUCCGUGCAUACAAGAAAAUCUGGAAAUUGUAACUUUCUCUAAGCACGGGAAUUAUGGAUUUUUUAUAUUGUUAAAUUUCUG